CUCUGAUGUCCUGUGCCAGACAACUUCUAAAGUGGAUUGUGACUCAGAUAACAGCUCCUCUGAGCGCCUUCUCCUCCUGGCAGACCUGGUGCUGUAUUACUGUCGAAAUGCAGCACAGCCUGUUCUGCUACAACUCUACCAGGCUGUGCAUAUCUCCAGGUCAGAGGUGAAGUUGGACAAGGUCCAGGUGAGUGGUGGCAGUGGGACCACCUUCCCUGUGUCUGGACCAGGAUGAGAAGAUCAUCCAAAGUGUCAUGUACUGUAUCAAUUAAACCAACCACAGGCCUGAUAAUGUGCUGCCAAUAUACAGUAUAUUACAUAAUUAUUUUACAUGACAUGUUGCUGACCCAAUAAUUAUUAUGUUGUGUCAUUGUGCUGUAAACCAGGCAGCGGUUCUGACUGGUCUCACAGGAGGUCUCACAGGAGCCGGCCUAGUCAGGUCCAGCCACUGCACCCCUCCUUCUGCUCCCUGCUCUGCCUGCCCAUCACCUCCUUCUGUGGCUCUCAACCAUCAUUAAACACUGGACUAGGCUACUCCUAAGCUACUCUCUCUCCUGAACCACUCAGACAUAAACACCCACAUGAUGUCCUGAUAAUAAUGUAUUCCAUUUAGCAGGAAGCUUUUAUCCAAAGCAACAUACAGUCAUAUGUACAUGCAUUUGAAGUUCGAAGUUUACAUACACCUUAGCCAAAUACAUUUCAACUUGGUUUUUCACAAUUCCUGACAUUUAAUCCUA